GCAUUGAUGAUGUAACGGUAACAUCGGGUCUUCCCAUGACAUCUUCAUUCGAUGCUGUUGGAUGGCCCGUCCCCGGGUUCGACUCCCGGUCAAUGCA